UGGGGAAUCUUGCGCAAUGGGCGAAAGCCUGACGCAGCGACGCCGCGUGAAGGAUGAAGGUCUUCGGAUCGUAAACUUCUGUUAAGUGGGAAGAAAUCUUCAUGGUUAAUACCCAUGAAGGAUGACGGUACCAUUAGAGAAAGCACCGGCUAAACUCGUGCCAGCAGCCGCGGUAAUACGAGUGGUGCAAACGUUAUUCGGAUUUACUGGGCGUAAAGGGUGCGUAGACGGUUUAGUAAGUCAACUGUAAAAUUUUCCGGCCUAACCGGAAGUCUGCGGUAGAAACUAUUAAACUAGAGGAUGGAAGAGAGAAGUGGAAUUCUCGGAGUAGCGGUAAAAUGCGUAGAUCUCGAGAGGAACACCGAUGGCGAAAGCAGCUUCUUGGUCCAUAUCUGACGUUGAGGCACGAAAGCGUGGGUAGCAAACAGGAUUAGAUACCCCCGUAGUCC
rnacentral:rRNA from 1 species